rnacentral:rRNA from 1 species
UACAGAGGGUGCGAGCGUUAAUCGGAAUUACUGGGCGUAAAGGGCGCGUAGGCGGUUUGUUGGGUGUGAUGUGAAAGCCCUGGGCUUAACCUGGGAAGUGCAUCGCAAACUAGCGAACUGGAGUAGAUGAGAGGGUGGCGGAAUUUCCGGGUGUAGCGGUGAAAUGCGUAGAGAUCGGAAGGAACGUCGAUGGCGAAGGCAGCCACCUGGCAUCAUACUGACGCUGGAGGCGCGGAAAGCGUGGGAGCGAACAGG